rnacentral:sRNA from 1 species
UCUCCCAAGGAUGAAGAGGUCUCCUAGGCAUGAUGCCACACCAACUAAGGCUGAAUACAAUUUAAUUUGAGACUCAUUACUUAUUCUUUCCUAUACAGAAUUGAUUCUUCAACUGAUUAUUCAUACCUUACUUUCUAUCAGCAAUACACAUUAACCAUCUGUUGUGUGCCAAAAGUUGUGUUAAGAGUUAGGGUUAUAAAGACGCUGUCUCCUGUACUAGCAGUUCUCACAGCUAUUCAUUACUUGUCUAAAGAAUUGAUCUCUUAAUCAUUCAAUUAUAGUCAACAGUAACUUACUGAACACCAACAAUGUUCUUUGUGCCAUUAUUACAUUUUCACCUUCAUUCUUCUGUUGUUUUUCAGGGCAUUUUGUCAGUGAUGCUGAUCUUUGCCUUCUUCCAGGAACUUGUAAUAGCUGGCAUCGUUGAGAAUGAAUGGAAAAGAACGUGCUCCAGACCCAAAUCUAACAUAGUUCUCCUGUCAGC